rnacentral:lncRNA from 1 species
AAGAAGAAAUUUAAAAAUAUAUAAAAUAAAUAAUAUUAGACGCGGUUGCCAUGUUUUUAACAUUGCUGUGACUAUGAAAAUGGAUACAUUUUUUCCCCACUGUGUUUAGAUAAUAAGUUGAAUAAACUUGCACAAUUUUUCUGGGUUGGAUAGCUUUAUCAUUCAUCAGUGACUUUGCUAUUUGCUGCGCCUCCUUGUGUGUUAAACAAGAUACCCUGGAGAUUAAAUAUCCAUGGAAUGAUGAAGAAAUGGAUUAGUGGCACUUCUAUUGGAUAAUCCUCUGUGAUUUACGCGGACGAAAUUUUUUAAUUUAAUAUUAUAUUGAUUGAACUUAUGACAAUCUGAUAAAGAGUUGUAAAUUUAAAUAUUCCGUUAGUUUUGUGUAGUUGGAAAUCACAGUUAUUAAUUACUAACAUUAUUCUUUAAUUCUUGAUCAUCGUAGUCAUUCCUCCCUAUAUGUCCUUGCUAGAUAGGGAGUAGGAUUUGUGUUUAUUUCCGUCCUCUCAUAGUUGUUAUUAAUAAUCGAAUCAAACGUCAUGUUAGGUGCUCUUCACUCAAAUACUCUUCAAAUUUUUAGGGUUACAAUAUCCAGGAAGUACUCUGCAAUAUCAUUUUUCGGGUUUGUUUUAGUACACAUACUGAAAGUGCUUAUAAUUUACAACACUCAACUAAAUAUAUUUUUAAUAAUAUGGAAUCUAUAUUUUCAGAAUCAACUACAAAUCAUCAAUCCAUUCAGUAUUACAUAGGAAACAUUCAAUCAUGGAAAACUAUGCCAGAAAAAGGAACUAAUUUAUUAAUCAGCUACAAACUUACCAAAAAAAAGUUUCGAAAAAGUUGACAAAUAUAGUUUGAGAAUACUUCGCCAGUUAGUUCGAACCACUAUUAGGACCAUUGAAACAAAAUCAUAAUGUUAAAAGAAAAAAAUGGAUUCGAGAUUCAAGUUUCAAUAGAAAAUGCGAACAAUCAAUCUUUUGGAAGGAAUGUAUUGGGGCUCCUACUUACUUAGUCAAGUACUGGUCGAGACUCCUCCAUCCCGAAGUUGCCUCUGAAUCUAAUAAUCUAGAUGUGUUUGUCAUCAUUGGAGUCUUCUAUUAUAUUUAUUAGGUGUCCUUUCUCCAAGUCCAACAUUAUGUCUUCCCUUCCUGUUUCUUAAGAAUCAAUUCAUACAUAGGAUAUAUGCCGUCCUCUGUUUCUUCUACCACAAGCAAUGUUUCUUCCAAAAUAUCUGAUGUCAGGUUCCUUUAUUUCCCUGGAAAAUAUAAUACACCUUGGACCCAAAAAGAAACGACUUAAAGUCAUAUUUUGGUUGAUUUUGUUGUCAUCAUUCAUAGAAUUUCUUCAUUUGAAAGUUGGAUAAAGUUUUUGGGUUUGUAAUGUCAAAUGACGUAAAAUCAAAGAUGUUUAAGUUAGAAAGACAUUGGUGGUUCAAACAAACCAAACACACAUCCUAAAAAGUUCAAGAAUGGCUCAUUAGGCAUAAGAUGGGCCAUAGACAGCCAGCCCAAAAUCCUGAUCAUAUCCCUAUUGAUAAUCUAUGGACUACAUUGAAAAAAGCAGUGUGGAAAAGACAUCCAACAAAUUUUGAUGAAUUUAUAGAUUAUGUCAAGAAAAGGGAGCCAAGAUCGAUCCCAGUGGUUGCAUCAAUUUUUUAAGGACUUAUCCCAAGCGUAUUCAAUAUUUGAAGAAAACUAGAGGCGAUGUCGCAAAGUAUUAAGUCAUUUUGCUCUUUGGGUAUGAAUACUUAUGAAAAGCCAAAAAUGAUAUUUCGUUAACUUAGUCCAAAAGUUAAUAAAUUAUUAUAGAUUUUCUUACUGAGUUUUUAGAUCCAAUAUGAACAUUGAAUUAUGUUUUCUUGGCAUUUUCGUGAGGGUAAGAAUAGUUUUGGGCUCAACUCUAUAUGAAUGAAAAAAAUUAUCUUAAUGUUGUAUUUUAUUGUGUUUUUAAAUACAAAAAUUUAAUCAUUAAAUAAUUUACUUAUUACCCUAGUAAAGAAGUUUCUAUUUAAAUAAGAACUCAGGUUUAACACUAUAUUUAACCCUUAAUCACCGAUUUCAACAAAUUUCCUACAUAGCUUUAAGAUAUUUUUAUUUGCUUAAAUAAAAUAUAUUACUCAUCUAA